rnacentral:rRNA from 1 species
CAGCCGUAAACUAUGCUCGCUAGGUGUCAGGGACGGUGCGACCGUUUCUGGUGCCGCAGGGAAGCCGUGAAGCGAGCCACCUGGGAAGUACGGUCGCAAGGCUGAAACUUAAAGGAAUUGGCGGGGGGAGCACAACAACGGGUGGAGCUUGCGGUUUAAUUGGAUUCAACGCCGGAAAUCUUACCGGGACCGACAGCAACAUGAAGGCCAAGCUGAAGACUUUGCCGGAUUAGCUGAGAGGUGGUGCAUGGCGUAGUCGUGU